rnacentral:rRNA from 1 species
CUCUGUGACUCCUACGGGAGGCAGCAGUGGGGAAUAUUGCACAAUGGGGGAAACCCUGAUGCAGCCAUGCCGCGUGUGUGAAGAAGGCCUUCGGGUUGUAAAGCACUUUCAGUAGGGAGGAAGGUAGUGUAGUUAACACCUGCAUUAUUUGACGUUACCUACAGAAGAAGCACCGGCUAACUCCGUGCCCAGCAGCCGCGGUAAUACGGAGGGUGCGAGCGUUAAUCGGAAUUACUGGGCGUAAAGCGCAUGCAGGCGGCCUGUUAAGUCAGAUGUGAAAGCCCGGGGCUUAACCCUCGGAAUUGCAUUUUGAAACUGGCAGGCUAGAGUCUUGUAGAGGGGGGUAGAAGUUUCAGGUGUAGCGGUGAAAUGCGUAGAGAUCUGAAGGAAUACCAGUGGCGAAGGCGGCCCCCCUGGACAAAGACUGACGCUCAGAUGCGAAAGCGUGGGGAGCAAACAGGAUUAGAUACCCUGGUAG